UGUUUGUUUAUGUUUUUUAAUUUAACACUUUUUUUCCUAUUAAGACAUUAGGUCCAUGAGAGCAAGGACCAUGUUUGUUUAGUUUACUGCUAUAUUCUCAGUGCCUCUCACCUUGCCUGUCAACAUAAAAGUACUUCUUGAAAGUGGCAGGCAGUAUUUUAUUUUAAACUAUGUAUUUGUUUUGUUUCUAUCUUAGAGCCAUGAAAUGACAAGCACUGGACUGCUACUUGGUGUUUCUGCUGUAAAACUAGGCACCAUGGAUAUGUCUAUUACUCGGCUUCCUAGCAUUCACAUUCCUGCUCUCUUACCCGCAACGUCCACAGAGCUGGAUGUUCCUCACAAUGUCCAAGUGGCUGCAGUGGUUGGCAUUGGCCUUGUAUAUCAAGGGACAGCUCACAGACAUACUGCAGAAGUCCUGUUGGCUGAGAUAGGAUGGCCUCCUGGUCCUGAAAUGGAAUACUGCACUGACAGAAAGUCAUACUCCUUAGCUGCUGGCUUGGCCCUGGGCAUGGUCUGCUUGGGGCAUGGCAGCAAUUUGAUAGGUAUGUCUGAUCUCAAUGUGCCUGAGCAGCUCUAUCAGUACAUGGUUGGAGGACAUAGGCGCUUUCAAACAGGAAUGCAUAGGGAGAAACAUAAAUCACCAAAUUAUCAAAUCAAAGAAGGAGAUACCAUAAAUGUGGAUGUGACUUGUCCAGGUGCUACUCUAGCUUUGGCUAUGAUCUACUUAAAAACCAAUAACAGGUAUUUCUACCCACUCACCCUUCCUCCCACGGUGAUAGUGUGAUAUCCUCUCUGACCUUGGUUGUAAAAUUCAGUUAUCUCAUGUGUUUCUUUCCCCUGUGCUGGAUUAAGCUGAUUUUCGUUCUUUCAAGUACUCUAAGUUUUUGAAAGAAAACUUGCAGUAUUUGAAGUUAUAAAGAUUUUACCUAGAAAUAAUGUAUUUGGCUAUUUUAAUUGUAUUUGACAAUAUAGUUUUCAAUUUCUGUUCAUUUCUGUUUUGUAGUUGAUGUCAGUAACACCCAAACAAUGCCCAUGUUUGUUUUCAUUAAUUUAGCAUAUUGCUGUGAGGACUGGUUAAGCCAGAAAUACUUAUCAUUAGUGUGAUCUUGGCUACCAUGUAAAACAAUGGUUUUUGCCUACUUCAAGAGCUUUUGUAAUUACCAAACCGUCUACCUUCCUAACUUGCUAUAUUAAUGCUGAUGCUUGAAAGUAAGAUCUUUGGCAUUUAUGCUUACACGUUGCAUGAAGAGUAAGUUGAGUACAAGAUGUUAUGCCAUGUAUUAAGUCUAUUAAUUAAAAACAAAUUCUAAGAUUCAAGGAGCUUUUCAGUGUUCCACAUUUCUCCCUUCAGAAAAAGUAAAUGUGUGCAGAAUUAACAAAGUGUUUAAAAAUAGAAAUUUAUUACUUUACUAUUUGGAUGAAUGUGUAGGGCAGUGCUUCCUUGGCACUGGGGAUAUUUCAUUGAGCAAAACUAAAAAUAUCUUCCCUCAUGGAGUUUAUGUUAUAGUAAGACAUACAUGUACAUCUAUAAUAACUAUUACGUUAGAAGGUAUAAAAUAUUGUGAAAAAUAUAUAGAGCAGUAGUGGAGUGGGAAGAAAUGUUUUGAAAUAGAGCUUGAGAUUCUUGAUUGUCUUGCCCUCUACUUGAACAGUGUCUCUAGGAAGCCCAGACACAUGGAGAAGUUCUGAGUGUUUUGGCCGAUAGUCCCAGAUGAGGUUCCAGCAACAGCUGGGAUCACCCAUGAGAUGUGAGUGAGGAAGGCUUUGAGAUGGUUUCAGCCCUAGCCACCACUGACCUCAUGAGAGACCACAAGAAAGAGAAUCACCUGGCCAAGCCCAGCAGACCUUCAGAAUUCAGAAAUAAAAUAAUUCGUCUUAUUUUAAGCCACUGUGUUUUGGUUUGAUUCAUCCCAUAGCAAAAGACAACUUCAACAGGCCCUUUCUGAGGCUCUGGAGGGGCCCUGGCAAUGUAUCCAUUUGGUCAUUUGCUUUUGACAAAAGCAGACAUUUUAGCUGUAAUUGGCUAAAAUUCUGAUCUCUUUCUGCC
rnacentral:lncRNA from 1 species